UACAUAGGGAGCAAGCGUUAUCCGGAAUUAUUGGGUGUAAAGGGUGCGUAGACGGGAAAUUAAGUUAGUUGUGAAAUCCCUCGGCUUAACUGAGGAACUGCAACUAAAACUGAUUUUCUUGAGUGAAGUAGAGGUUGGCGGAAUUCCGAGUGUAGCGGUGAAAUGCGUAGAUAUUCGGAGGAACACCGGUGGCGAAGGCGGCUUGCUGGACGACAACUGACGCUGAGGCGCGAAAGCGUGGGGAGCAA
rnacentral:rRNA from 1 species